rnacentral:lncRNA from 1 species
AGCACUAACUCUACAAACAGUUAUUGGCUUUGUAUAUCUGCAGUUAAACCACAUGAUUCAGCAAUUAAGUAAAAACUAGUACCAUCCAUGAAAACAACAAAUUAAAGAGAUACAAAACUCUCCUACUCUCGAAAAAUCUGAAAUUUUUCCACAGCCACUAACUAACAUCAACUAUCCUACCAUUAACACCCUUUACACACUUCAAAUCUUCACCAUUACCAUGGUUGUUAUCUUUAACAAUAGCAUUCCCAUUACCAUUACCUCUAACAACAAAAUGAGAACCCCCAUUAUUGUUUACAGUCACAGAGGAUCCACAUUGGGACAAUGGCGCCAGAGACACCACCAACGAAACCCCAAUCUUAUUAUUUUGCCCAUUCAAGUUCUCUUUUUUACAGACAAUACUAUGAUUCACCUGAACCUUCUGAUUAUUACUCCCCAAAUUCCUUGACCUAGAAACCUCAAUAGAACCCCGGAGACGCUGCAACGUAUCGACACGCACCAGUGCCUCCCUGGCCCUCUUCCUGGCCGCGGCAGACUCGCGAACACUCCUAUCAGCUUUCACUCUGGCAGCAGCCAGAGCCCUGGUUACCGAAGCCGAAGCGAUCUUCACGGCACAGAGGAACACAAUGGCAUGCUUUUGAUCAAGCACAUGGUGGGCAUUACUGGGGUUGAUGAAUUUAAACUCAAGAGUGGAGCAUGGAGGGCAGAGGAAAGAUGAGGGAGGAAGGUGAGGGGAUCAAUGACAGAAUCUAUUAUCCAGAGUUCCAGUAACCACCUUAUAAGUAACAUUACAAAGUGAUAUGGUCUAAAACUCAAGACAAUUCUUAACAAAAUUGACAUCCUCAAAUAACUUGUCAAAUAAGCUCAUUUAUAAACACUAUUGGAUAGCUUAUUUUUUGG